GACGCUGGGACGACCCGAGCUCCCUCCCCGAGCACCCGGGCCACCGAGGCACGUCGCCCCCGGCCCUGGCCCGCGGGCAGUGGACGCGCGGGGAACUAUAGAGGUGUGUUCCAGAGGUGACAGUUCAUGGCACAGACAGUUAGAGCAUGCUCUUUGGCACUUACUUUUGUCAUCAUGUCGCUGUUGGCUAAAGCAAAAAUAGAUGUGUGCAGGAGAGGCGAUGUGACUGUGGAGCCCUCCCGCGUGAUUUCCCUGGGAUCAGCUGUCAGUAUCUCCUGCUCUUUGAAGCCGAAACAAGGCUGCCCUCGAUAUUCCAGUUUCAACAAGCUAAUCCUCUACAAAUUCUACCAAAGGAUCAUGUUACAGCAUGGCCACUCCCUCAGUUUCCAGGUCUCAGAUCUUCCUCUGGGGACGACACUGUUUGUCUGCAAACUGAGCUGCAGCAAUAGUGAGGAGAUUCGCAUAUGUGGGGUGGAGGUCUCAGUCGGCGUUGUUCCGGAGCAGCCUCAAAACGUAUCUUGUACACAGAAGGGAGAACGUGGGACAGUGGCUUGCACCUGGGACAGAGGACGAGACAGCCACCUAUAUACUGCAUACACUUUACAGUUAAAUGGACCAAAAAAUUUAACUUGGCAGAAGCAAUGUAAUGAUUAUUGUGACCAUUUGGAUCUUGGAAUCAACCUAAUCCCUGAAUCAUCUGAAUUCAGUUACACAGCCAAGGUUAUUGCUGUCAAUAGUCUUGGAAGUGCUUCUUCAUUCCCAAUCACAUUCACAUUCUUGGAUAUAGUGAGGCCUCUUCCUCCAUGGGACGUCAGAAUCAACUUUGUAAAUGCUUCUGUGGGCAGAUGCACUCUUUGGUGGAGAGAUGAAGGGAUGGUGCUGCUUAAUCGACUCAGAUAUCGGCCCAAUAACAACAGAUCCUGGAACAUGGUUAAUGCUACAAAUGCCAAAGGAAGACAUGAUUUGUUGGAUCUGGAACCGUUUACAGAAUAUGAAUUUCAGGUUUCCUCUAAGCUGCAUCUGUAUAAAGGUAGUUGGAGUGACUGGAGUGAAUCAUUGAGAAUGCAAACACCAGAAGAAGAGCCUACUGGGACACUAGAUAUCUGGUACAUGAAACAGAACAUUGACUACAGUAAACAACAGAUCUCUCUUUUCUGGAAGAAUCUGAGUAUAUCAGAGGCAAGAGGGAAGAUCCUCCACUAUCAGGUGACUUUGCUGGAUAUGGCUGGGGAGAAACCCACACUUCAGAACACCACAGAACAUACCUCCUGGACCUGGGUCAUCCCCAGGACUGAGAACUGGACUGCGGCCGUGUCUGCAGCUAACUCAAAAGGCAGUUCCCUGCCCACUCGUAUUAACAUAACAGACCUGUGUGGGUCAGGGUUGUUGGCUCCUGGCCAGGUGUCUGCAAACUCAGAGGGCACGGACAGCAUUAUGGUGACAUGGGAGCCUCCUGGGAAAGCUACCUCCACUGUUCAAGAGUAUGUGGUGGAAUGGAGGGAGCUGCAUCCGGGGGGUGGCGUGCGGACCCCUCUGAACUGGCUACGGACUCCCCCUCACAAUGUGUCCACUUUGAUUUCAGAGAACAUAAAGCCCUACAUCUGUUAUGAAAUCCGUGUGCAUGCACUCUCAGGGGACCAAGGAGGAUGCAGCUCCAUCCGGGGUAACUCUAAGUGCAAAGCACCGCUGAGUGGGCCCCACAUUAAUGCCAUCACAGAGGAAAAGGGGAGCAUUUUAAUUUCAUGGAACGAAAUUCCAGCCCAGGAACAAAUGGGCUGCAUCCUCUAUUACAGGAUAUACUGGAAAGAACAGGACUCCAGUUCCCCACCUCGACUUUGUGAAAUCCCCUAUAGGGCCUCUCCAAACUCACACCCAGUGAACGGCCUGCAGCCCGGAGUGAGAUACGUCCUGUGGAUGACGGCCCUGACUGCCGCUGGCGAGAGCCCCCGCGGAAGUGAGAGGGAAUUUUGUCUGCAGGGUAAAGCCAGUUGGAGCAUGUUUAUGGUCCCGAGCAUCUGCACUGCUGUCGUCGUGGUGGGCAUCUUCUCAGUGCCUUACUCCCGGCAAAAGCUAGCCGUCCUCCUGUCAGCCCUCAGACCUCAGUGGUGUAGCAGACAAAUUCCAGACCCAGCGAACAGCACGUGGGCCAAGAAAUAUCUCAUUGUGGAGGAGAAGAUGCAGCUGCCCUUGGACAGGAUCCUAACAGACUGGCCCACUCUGAAAGAACCUGAGCCCCUGGUCAUCAGCGAAGUCCUUCACCAAGCGACCCCGGGCUUCAGACGUCUCGUUCACCCCAACUGGCCAGAAAAGGGAAAAGGAGUCCAAGGUCACUAUACCUCUGAGGAAGACACAGGGUACAGUGCCUCAGGCUCACCACCUCCAAGAGCUCUCACAGCAGAGACGGGACAGCCAGUGGAUCUGUACAAGGUGCUGGGGAGUAGGGACCCUGACUCGAAGCCAGGAAACCCAGCAAGCCCCUCGCCGGCCCUCCCAGUGGACUACCUUCCCACCCACGAGGGCUACUUACCCUCCAACGUGGAUUAUCUCCCUGCACAUGAGUCUUCUGUGACUGAGCCCCCAGAAGAACUAGAGCCUCAGCACAUCUCCCUUUCUGUUUUUCCCUCAAGCUCCCUUCACCCGCUCACCUUCUCCUGUGGCGAGAAGCUGACUUUGGAUCGGUUGAAGAUGGGGUGUGGCUCCCUCAUGCUUUGAAUGAAGGUUGAAACUUGGCCAGUGCUCCCAGUCAGCACAGCAGGCCCAUCUACCCAGCCCUCUGCUCCAGCUAUCAGUUCCUGUGGCUGCUACCAUUUGCUCUGUUUGCAGCUAGAGGACCACCAAGCCAGCUCAGGGAGAAUCUCGGGGAACUGAGAGUUGGCUGCAGCGGAUACCUCAUCUGGCCUUCUCCAGAGGCUUCAGAUUACAUCUUCAGGUCCACUGUGUGGACCUGGAGACUCCAGUUUAAAUUCCUGCAGCUUUCUUGGCUAUGGUGGCUGGAAAAGGGGAGUGUGGAAACCAAAACGCUUACUAGCAAUGAGAACCAUUCUACAAUUGUUUAUAAAGCAGCUACUAUAUACCAGGUCUUAGGUUGAGAUGAUCAGCACUGUUCAAUAGGCCUAUCUACACUGCUGAGUACGCUAGACACUAACAAGUGGCUGUAUACACUUUGAAACAUGCCUAGUAUGACCGAAGAACCAAAUUUGGAUUGUAAUUGAAAUAGUCACAUGUGGCUAGCACUACUGUAUUAAACACAGCUACAGAUGAUGGAUACAUCAGUAAGAAUUACCAGGAUGGAGCGGCUUCCAUGGUGCCCCACUGGCAAGAUGCCCAGACCAUCUACUUCCUCUACUAGACGCAAACAACCUGAGGGCAGGAACCACGCUGUGUUUCCUGUGCCUGAUACACAGAUACCAGUCACCAUUCUUGCCCCUUCUGUUCCCGAAGCCAGUCCGGCUGUGCACGCUCACUUUCCACUGGGACAACUGAGUUUGCAUUUGUUCUUCAUUCCCAACCCUCUCCACCCCCACUGUCCACUGGCAGCACUGCUACUAGUAGCAAUGUUUAAAAACAUACUUGAGCAAGACUUCUGCAGCUCGUCCGAGAUAAAAUGUCCUCUUUCCAUGAAUGAGGACGGGCAACCUUGUUCUGUUCUUGCCCCUAGUUUUCAUAUAUACCACCUUCCUGCCACACACCAAAAUUUCAAAACAGGUUGCCUAGUUUACCAGGACUAAGUGGAGCUUCUCAAUCCUCAGACUUUCAUUCCUCAGGAAAACUAGCAGUGAUUUAAAUCCUCAAUGUACAUCCCAAGACAACCCAGAUACCUCUGCUGUUCAAACAUGAAAUUCCUUAGUUUUCCGGGACCUAAAUCUGGUCCCAAGUUCACACUUGCAGGAUAUAUGGCAACCAUCCUCAUUAAUUUUUGUAUACAAAUCUGUACUUUGAAUUGUUCCUUGAAAGAGCCCACUUUCCCAGAAGCCAAAGAUUCUAUUUCCUGGGCUUCUGUCUUCCUUGUAGACAACAGGGGAGUCAAACUAGUUCCCUAGCUCUGUCCUUUUACUGCCUUUCCCCCUCCAUCGUCCCAAUUUCUCAGCUUCCAUUAAUAUCCUACAGCUGCAACUCACCAGUGCCCUGAAGCCUGUGAGAGAGAUGCCAAGCUAGGCAUUCUAUUCUAGUCAACCUCCCAUGUUAGAAUCUGGGUUUUUUUUUUUGAAGCUCCAACUUUUCAUGUGUCACAAUUGCCACAUGCCUUGAUACCAACUCAAGCCCUCUAAGAGUCCUGUUUUGCUCUUACUAAUCUGCAGGACUCACGGAUGUUCACACUAUCCCAUCGUAUAAAGGCUGACUGACAGAUGAACCCUCAAGUAAACUACUCUCUAGAAUAAAAGAUCAGAAAGGUCUCUUCUUCCUCCUAAAAAAAAAAAUCAAUUCAAUCAAUUGCCUAAUUGACAACUAAAAGAAGUUAGAUCUUCACAUCAGCCUAUACCGAAAAUAAAUCUUCAGUGAAAAAUGUGCAAAACAUCAAGUUAGAUCAAGAUAUUUGCAAUACAUGCCCAAAAUAGAAAAAAAGUCAACAUUUCAAAUGGACUGAGAAACACAAAACAGUAAAUGUUCAAUAGUGUCACCCCAAUAAAUUCAGUAAAAAGGAAAAAAAGUAAGUAAUAAGCAUGAAGAAAAUAAUCACCUGUAAUCAAAGGAAUAAAAUUAAACACCACUUUCCACCAACUGAAUUAGAGAAAUUAAACAAAAAAUUACCCAGUAUUAAUCAGAGAUGAUGUUUGCAACCAGGUAUGCUAGAUGGCUCCUUUCGGGAAGCAGUCGGGCAGUACUUUUUCAAAUUUCAAUAAACAGCUCCACUCCUAGCAAUGCAGAUUAAUGAACAGUAUAAACGAGUUAUUACAGCAUUGCUUACAACAGGGAGAGGGACUUAAAUGCCCUUUAAGAGGAAUUUGGUUCAUCUAGACAACAAAACAGUACCCUGAAAUUUAAGACUAUAAAUUUCAGAACACCCCCACCAUUCUACUAUGUUCUGAAUUGAAAAUGAAAAAGCUACUAAAACUGAAAUAUGCUGUUGAUUUCUAUGGUGCAUGAUUCCCCUGCCCACCCCCACAAUGACUGAAACUGGGAUGGAUCUUGGAGUUGAUGAAAAGCACAACACACAAUCCUUCAAAAAAGCAGAGCAAUAUUUGGUACGGAAAUGGUCAAUUACAAAAGAAUGAACAGAAUCAUAUCACUGUCAUAAAUCAAGCAAACAGGUUUUUGAAAUAGACGCAAAAACACUAACAGUUGGUUUCCUCUAGUCGUAAGUUUUUAAAUUCUAUUUCUACAUUUUCAUUAAAAAUAGUCCUUAUAAUUAGUCAAUACAAUAUACCCAAUUCUCUCCCCCCAAAGGCCAGACACGGUAGGUCUAGAAACAGACAGACACAAUCAACCACUUUUGUUUAUGGCCAUGUCACUUUCAUCCUCUGACACUUUCACUGAUGUUUAUUACUCCUGUCAGUUGGUAGAAAAGGCAAAGGAAGAUG